UACGUAGGGUCCGAGCGUUGUCCGGAUUCAUUGGGCGUAAAGAGCGUGUAGGCGGCCAGGUAGGUCGGUUGUGAAAACUGGAGGCUCAACCUUCAGAGGUCGACCGAAACCAUCUGGCUAGAGCCGGGAGAGGAGAGUGGAAUUCCUGGUGUAGCGGUGAAAUGCGCAGAUAUCAGGAAGAACACCCGUGGCGAAAGCGGCUCUCUGGAACGGUACUGACGCUGAGACGCGAAAGCGUGGGGAGCGAACAGG
rnacentral:rRNA from 1 species